GGUCUGUAACCUUCGAUAAAGGGAUUGGGCAGAAAGGCCAAUCUUCGCUCGGCCUCCGCAGCCUAGAAAUGAAGUCGAGGCGGCCCUGGAGAACUUUCGCUUGGGCCUGGUGGGGAGCUAUCAUUUCCCCGUCCUUAGAGACAUCACCUGAUGGAAGAGUGUUUCCUCAGAAUGUGGAGAUGACAUGACAGGCGGGACAGACUGGGAACAAGCCCUUCACCUUCAAUCUCUCUUGUUUCAAAUUCAGUUAGGAAAAAAACCACAAUAAAUAAGUGGGAAAUAAGAGCCCAAGAUAAAGUUCACUAAAAGUUUUUCUUCUUUUGUAUUUA